AUAACUGGUGAAGAAAGGGCCGGGCAAGACCGGUGCCAGCCGCCGCGGUAAUACCGGCGGCUCGAGUGGUGGCCACUAUUACUGGGCUUAAAGCGUUCGUAGCUGGUUUGUUAAGUCUCUGGGGAAAUCUUCCGGCUUAACCGGAAGGCGUCUCAGGGAUACUGGCAGACUAGGGACCGGAAGAGGUGAGAGGUACUCCAGGGGUAGGAGUGAAAUCCUGUAAUCCUUGGGGGACCACCUGUGGCGAAGGCGUCUCACCAGAACGGCUCCGACAGUGAGGGACGAAAGCUGGGGGAGCAAACCGGAUUAGAUACCCGGGUAGUCCCAGCCGUAAACGAUGUGCAUUAGGUGUAUCGGUGACCACGAGUCACCGAGGUGCCGAAGAGAAAUCGUGAAAUGCGCCGCCUGGGAAGUACGGUCGCAAGGCUGAAACUUAAAGGAAUUGGCGGGGGAGCACCACAACAGGUGGAGCCUGCGGUUUAAUCGGACUCAACGCCGGGAAACUCACCAGAUAAGACAGCUGAAUGAUAGUCGGGCUGAAGACUCUACUUGACUAGCUGAGAGGAGGUGCAUGGCCGUCGUCAGUUCGUACUGUGGAAGC
rnacentral:rRNA from 1 species